rnacentral:rRNA from 1 species
GACAGAGGGUGCAAACGUUGUUCGGAAUUACUGGGCGUAAAGCGUGUGUAGGCGGCUACGCAAGUCGGAUGUGAAAGCCCCGGGCUCAACCCGGGAAGUGCACCCGAAACUGCGUGGCUUGAGUACCGGAGAGGUUGGUGGAAUUCUCGGUGUAGAGGUGAAAUUCGUAGAUAUCGAGAGGAACACCGGUGGCGAAGGCGGCCAACUGGACGAGUACUGACGCUGAGACACGAAAGCGUGGGGAGCAAACAGG